CCCGCUAUAAUGUCCACACAGGUCAUGUUGACAUGUUUGUAACACAAGUUACAUUUUUAUACAAUUUGACAUGAUAUACAUUAAUAUCAUUCGAUAUUUUUUUUUUUACAUAUUAUUUUUAAAAUUGUUAGUUUGAGGACCGUGCGAGAGUUUGCCUAGUCAUUUCACUUUUAGUUAAUUAUAUUCUGACAGUGUGAGCAUUUGUGUGGCCUACCCAAAUGUUCUUUUGGUUGGUAUUGUUCGUCGGAUCAUUCAGCAACAGCCGUCAGCUGAGCUAAUUGUAAACUGACACAUGCGUGCUGCCAUCUGAACAGGUCCGCUCAAACUGCUGUGGUUCUUUCCUCAAAAGACCACUACAGAAUCAACUUGCACGGUUCUCCGACAUCUUUAAUUGAUUUGUCUGGACUUUAAAAGAGACUAUGACCUCUGAGUUUGUUUCGGCAUUUCUUCUCAGAGUAGUCGGAUAGGAAAUGCCGGCCUCGUCUAGUUAUUUAAGAGAUUGACGUGUAAAAGUGUUAUUUUAUAACCUAUUUGCAAAAUAAAUAUCAUUUAUCAUUUA